rnacentral:rRNA from 1 species
GGUAACUGCGUGGAGGACGCGGGGGUAAUGCGGGGGUGGCAAGUGGUGGGCGGAAAUACUGGGCGUAAAGCGUGCGGAGGCGGCGUAUUAAGUCUGGUGUGAAAGCCCGGGGCGUAACCCAGGAAGUGCACUGGAAACUGGGAGACUGGAGUAGCGGAGAGGAGGGUGGAAUUCCUGGUGUAGCGGUGAAAUGCGUAGAUAUCUGGAGGAACACCGGUGGCGAAGGCGGCCCUCUGGACGGAUACUGACGCUGAGACGCGAAAGCGUGGGGAGCAAACAGGAUUAGAUACCCCAGUAGUC